CGAAGGCAAGCGGAUCUCUUAAAGCUGUUCUCAGUUCGGACUGCAGUCUGCAACUCGACUGCACGAAGCUGGAAUCGCUAGUAAUCGCGGAUCAGCACGCCGCGGUGAAUACGUUCCCGGGCCUUGUACACACCGCCCGUCACACCAUGGAAGUCUGCAAUGCCCGAAGCCGGUGGCCUAACCACUUAUGUGGAAGGAGCCGUCUAAGGCAGGGCAGAUGACUGGGGUGAAGUCGUAACAAGGUAGC
rnacentral:rRNA from 1 species